UACGAGGGGGGCUAGCGUUGCUCGGAAUCACUGGGCGUAAAGCGCACGUAGGCGGAUCCUUAAGUCGGGGGUGAAAUCCUGGAGCUCAACUCCAGAACUGCCUUCGAUACUGAGGAUCUCGAGUCCGGGAGAGGUGAGUAGAACUGCGAGUGUAGAGGUGAAAUUCGUAGAUAUUCGCAAGAACACCAGUGGCGAAGGCGGCUCACUGGCCCGGUACUGACGCUGAGGUGCGAAAGCGUGGGGAGCAAACAGG
rnacentral:rRNA from 1 species